UGUCCCUGGCCGCCUACACCCACUAUACAUCCACAAACCCGUGUGCACUGUCCUUGGAAAGGGCAUUUGGAGAGAAAAAGAAAGAGAAGCGAGAGCAGUGCGAUCCGUCGCGUUGGGCGUUUUCUCUGACUUGGUCUCUCUGAGGCCCUUUCCUUGCUACAAACUCGAAUGGUUAGUAUGAACGUGGAACUUGGUUGGACCGUCACUGGCCAACAAACUAUACACAACUUUCGACAACGGAUCUCUUGGUUCUCCCAUCGAUGAAGAACGCAGCGAAACGCGAUAGGUAAUGUGAAUUGCAGAAUUCCGUGAAUCAUCGAAUCUUUGAACGCACCUUGCGCUCUAUGGCAAUCCGUAGAGCAUGCCUGUUUGAGUGCCAUGAAAUCUCCCACCCCAAGCGGUUUUUACAUGAAACGGCUUGGCGGAUGGGGUCUGGAUGGGUGCCUCUGCCUGCGCUACCUAGCACAGGCUCGCCCGAAAUGCAUGAGCGCCUUGAGACACUUUGCAUCCGCCUCUCUGUUUGGGAGGAGGCGGCCAAGCAGUGUUUUUCUCCUGGCAUGGCAUGAUACGUCAUUUGCUAUGUCGCCUAAAGGAGGAAUGUUUGGUUGUGUCUGCGUGUGCUUCGAACUUGCCUCUGUGGCACAUCCCAA
rnacentral:sRNA from 2 species